rnacentral:rRNA from 1 species
GAUGAACGCUGGCGGCGUGCCUAAUACAUGCAAGUCGAGCGAACGGACGAGAAGCUUGCUUUUCUGAUGUUAGCGGCGGACGGGUGAGUAACACGUGGAUAACCUACCUAUAAGACUGGGAUAACUUCGGGAAACCGGAGCUAAUACCGGAUAAUAUUUUGAACCGCAUGGUUCAAAAGUGAAAGACGGUCUUGCUGUCACUUAUAGAUGGAUCCGCGCUGCAUUAGCUAGUUGGUAAGGUAACGGCUUACCAAGGCAACGAUGCAUAGCCGACCUGAGAGGGUGAUCGGCCACACUGGAACUGAGACACGGUCCAGACUCCUACGGGAGGCAGCAGUAGGGAAUCUUCCGCAAUGGGCGAAAGCCUGACGGAGCAACGCCGCGUGAGUGAUGAAGGUCUUCGGAUCGUAAAACUCUGUUAUUAGGGAAGAACAUAUGUGUAAGUAACUGUGCACAUCUUGACGGUACCUAAUCUGAAAGCCACGGCUAACUACGUG